UAUAUAUUACAUUAUGUAUAUACAAUAAAGACGAUCGAAUUCUUUUAAUGCAUCAACAAUCUUUGAACCCGAACUCUACAAAAUGAAGUGAAACAAAGAAAUGCUCAUCUCCAAUCUACACAAAAUAACUUAAAAAGCUGAAAGAAACUCAAUGUAGCUUUACUCUUGCUCUUGUUGUAAUUUAUGACAAAGUUUUAAGCUCCCACAUAGUUUCUGCAUCAAUGCUGAGACUCUCAGUAGACUGCAAAAUGUUGCGGACAAAAAUUGCCUGGUCGCUUGGUUGCUCGCCGAUUGAAAUUGGUGGUCUUAGCGCGCUUGUUGAAGCUCAUCAUUUUUAUCCAGCUGCUGGUUCUGCAGCUGCUGCUGGAUGACGUUGUUUGUUGUUUGUUCUUCGGGUUGCACUGUCUGUAAAGAAAAAUAGAGAGGAGGGCAAAAGAGAUCUGGGCGACGGAUUUUGAGAGGAGAGGAGAAGAGAAUGAAGAAAAUUGAGGGUUAGGGAUCUUUUGUAAAAAAUAGGAAACUCUUAGCAGACUGAAAAUGUUGCGGACGGAGACCGUCUAGUCGCUUGGUUGCUCGCCGAUUGGGGCUGCCAUCGAUGGAGGUUCACUGAUGGUCUUCACGCGCCUGUUCGAGCUCCCCAUUUCUUUCCGGCUGCUGGUUUUGCGGCUACUGCUUGACGAAAUUGUUUGUUGCUCAUUUUUAGGGUUGCACUGAUCGGAAAGAAGGAUGGAGAGAAGGGCAAAAAGGAUCCGGGCGGCUGAUUCGGAGAGGAGGGCAAAAGGGAUCUGGGCGGCGGAUUUGGAGAGGAGAGGAGAGGAG
rnacentral:misc_RNA from 1 species